CUCUUCAAAAGAAGAAAAAAAUGUAAGUCAUUCUAAAUAUGAUCAUGUUGAUUAAAUGUCUUAUUUUGACUUGCAAAAAGCCUUUAGUACUCUACACAAUGAGGCCAAGGAAGCUUUUAAACGCUUAGCCUCAAAUAAGAAUUUUUUUGUUAUUUAGAAAAGAAGGUUUCUGAUUCCGAAAAGGAAUUAGAAACUCUUAAGAAAUCUAUGAUAGAGGCUACUAAAGGCAAAGCUGAAAAUGAUAAGGGAUU
rnacentral:lncRNA from 1 species